rnacentral:rRNA from 1 species
CGUGGAUGAUGUGGAUUAAUUCGAUGCAACGCGAAGAACCUUUACCUACCCUUGACAUGUCCGGAACUUGCCAGAGAUGGCUUGGUGCCCGAAAGGGAAUCGGAACACAGGUGCUGCAUGGCUGUCGUCAGCUCGUGUCGUGAGAUGUUGGGUUAAGUCCCGCAACGAGCGCAACCCUUAUCAUUAGUUGCUACGCAAGGGCACUCUAAUGAGACUGCCGUUGACAAAACGGAGGAAGGUGGGAUGACGUCAAAUCAUCAUGCCCCUUAUGUUCUGGGCUACACACGUGCUACAAUGGCCGGUACAGACGGAGGCGAAGCCGCGAGGCGGAGCAAAUCCGAAAAAGCCGGUCUCAGUUCGGAUUGCAGGCUGCAAUUCGCCUGCAUGAAGUCGGAAUCGCUAGUAAUCGCAGGUCAGCAUACUGCGGUGAAUACGUUCCCGGGCCUU